rnacentral:rRNA from 1 species
UACGGAGGGUGCAAGCGUUGUUUCGGAAUCACUGGGCGUAAAGGGCGUGUAGGCGGUCCGCUAAGUCUGAUGUGAAAGCCCGAGGCUUACCCUCGGAAGUGCAUUUGGAGACUGGCGGACUGGAGUCCCGGAGAGGAGGGUGGAAUUCCUGGUGUAGCGGUGAAAUGCGCAGAUAUCAGGAAGAACACCCGUGGCGAAAGCGGCUCUCUGGAACGGUACUGACGCUGAGACGCGAAAGCGUGGGGAGCGAACAGG